UCUCACAUCCCUUGCAUGGUGGAGGGUGAGCUUUCUGGAAACUCCUCCCACAAGCAGGGUUUGUAGGA
rnacentral:miRNA from 1 species